UGACGUGAUGAUUCUUUAUGACGAAUUCUGUUCUACAGUCAAUUUCUCACCUGAGCAGAGACAGUGAACAGAUCGAAAGAGACUUUCACCGAGAAAACUACGGAGAAAUAACUGACGAGAAGAAAGUACCCCAUUGUGUUUGAAUGGAUACUUCAGCGCUCGACAUGGAUAACAAGAUUCCAUCAGAUGAACUGGGAGAAUUGAGGUGCAGCGAUUUAGACGUUCCCCUGUUCACACCAGACGACUUCGAGCCAAUUAUCAAUUUCUAUUUACAGGAUAUGACAACUGAGCAGUGGAUGUUAUUGGAAGCUGGACAGGUAUACACAGACUUGGCCGAUCUGCUAUCUCAAAUGUGUCAUGAGAUGGUAGAUGCGGUCAGUGUCGUAU